rnacentral:rRNA from 1 species
CACAUGCAAGUCUCAGCGCCCCGCAAGGGGAGCGGCAGACGGGUGAGUAACGCGUGGGAACCUACCUGAAGCCACGGAACAACUCCGGGAAACUGGAGCUAAUACCGUAUGUGCCCGAAAGGGGAAAGAUUCAUCGCCUUCAGAUGGGCCCGCGUCAGAUUAGCUAGUUGGUGGGGUAAUGGCCCACCAAGGCGACGAUCUGUAGCUGGUCUGAGAGGAUGAUCAGCCACACUGGGACUGAGACACGGCCCAGACUCCUACGGGAGGCAGCAGUGGG